GCGCCCGUAGCUCAGUUGGAUAGAGCAGGAGUUUCCUAAACUUCAGGUCACAGGUUCGAGUCCUGUCGGGCGCG
rnacentral:tRNA from 1 species